UACGAAGGUGGCGAAUGUUGCUCGGAUUCACUGGGCGUAAAGCGUCUGUAGGUGGCCUUGUUAAGUUAGAGGUGAAAGCCCCCGCUGCUCAACGUGGGAACUGCCUUAAAACUGGCGAGCUUGAGAGUAUCAGAGGAAGGCGGAAUUACUGGUGUAGAGGUAAAAUUCAUAGAUAUCAGUGAGAACAUCCAUGGCGAAAGGCAGCUUUCUGGGGAUACAUCUGACACUGAGAGACGACGAGCGCUGGGGAGGCAAACAGG
rnacentral:rRNA from 1 species